rnacentral:rRNA from 1 species
UGGGGAAUAUUGGACAAUGGGCGCAAGCCUGAUCCAGCAAUGCCGCGUGAGUGAUGAAGGCCUUCGGGUUGUAAAGCUCUUUCGCCUGCGAGGAUGAUGACGGUAGCAGGAGAAGAAGCCCCGGCUAACUUCGUGCCAGCAGCCGCGGUAAUACGAAGGGGGCGAGCGUUGUUCGGAUUUACUGGGCGUAAAGGGCGCGUAGGCGGCGAUCUAAGUCAGGCGUGAAAGCCCCGGGCUCAACCUGGGAGGUGCGCUUGGGACUAGAUUGCUGGAGUUCGGGAGAGGAGCGUGGAAUUCCCAGUGUAGAGGUUAAAUUCGUAGAUAUUGGGAAGAACACCGGUGGCGAAGGCGGCGCUCUGGACCGAUACUGACGCUGAGGCGCGAAAGCGUGGGGAGCAAACAGGAUUAGAUACCCUGGUAGUCCACGCUGUAAACGAUGUGUGCUAGACGUUGGGGAGCCUAGCUCUUCGGUGUCGCCGCUAACGCUGUAAGCACGCCGCCUGGGGAGUACGGCCGCAAG